GACUAUAUAAUUUAUCUGAUCUUAAAAAUGGAUAAAAUGCUCUAAGAUUGAGAUGUAAGUGUAUUAUAAGCAUUAAUAAACAGCGUUUGAGAAUACGGAAUUAUGGGUAGGGGGCAAAAGUGGGGGACAUAGAGUCAGCGUCCACCAUUCCCAAGCUUCCACGUGUAAGCGUCCGUAUCCGUGCCCGAAGUAGAAAGAACAUGGCAAACAAUCUUAAUUUAUCAUCAUACCUAUAAUUUCCGAUUACUUAACACACACACACACGCACACACACACAUUAGCAGACAAUAAAGCUCGCAGGUUAUGAACUAAAGCUGAGAUAAAGACACAAGCCACGAGUCAUGGGGUGUGAUAUCCAAAAUAAAAGUUAACAGCUAUGGAUUCGGAGACCCACCACGUAGCUGUUGCUUGCCACGCGACUCGAGUCACGUAGACAGGGCAUGGCAAAGAGACUGGUGACGGCCUGCGAUGGGCAUAGCUUGCGGCGCGUUAGUCAUUGUGUGCGCUUUUAUUUUCCGUGCGUGUCUGUGUGUGCGUAAUUAAUCAAGUCAUCGGUCCUUUACCUCAUCUCGUCAUUACGGUAAGUGCCCAUACUUCAUCGCUUCGCGGGACAUCGCUGGAGCUCCUCUUCGAAACAUAAGUACAAAACUGCGUUUCCUAGGCGGUAGGAUGAUAGGGCGUCAGGCUGCUAACCCUCUUCCCUUUCAGGUACACUAAUUAAUUAGAUUAUUCAAUAGUGACGCCCCUGAUAACGCAGCAAGGAGUAACGUCAUGCAAAGGGAAGAAGUAAUUAUUGUCAGUGGCGAAGUGGUGCGGAGAUGAACACCAGUGGAAUACCGUAUCAGAGAAGGAUUCUAUUGAUAUUUGAAGGCGACAGAAUUACCCGAGGAGGAGGUAAUGCGUUUCGCCGCCGCAAUGAUGACACCCAAUGUGCAAAUUCAAGACGGGAGUUCAAGAAGAAAAUCAGCUCAGUGGUUAUGAUGAAGCAUAUAUUGAGGGAGGUGGGAAGCGCAAAGUAACCAGACGUCUCAAGGGGAGCAGUCACUGAUGAAAGGUACGGAAAGCAUGUAGUGUUUUUCGCCUUAUUAAACUUAAACUUUUCCUUGCAGGUGUUAAUGACUACUAUUAUUACAGGUGCUAAUUAACCGUUUUCUUACAGGUGCUAAUCAACUUUCCUUACAGAUGCUAGUUGUUUUCUUACAGGUGUUAAUCAAAUUACCUUACAGGUGCUAAUCAAUUUUCCUUACAGGUGCUAAUCAAUUUUCCUUACAGGUGCUAAUCAAUUUUCCUUACAGGUGCUAAUCAAUUUUCCUUACAGGUGCUAAUCAAUUUUCCUUACAGGUGCUAAUCAACUUUCUUUACAGGUGCUAAUCAACUUUGCUUACAGGUGCUAAUCAACUUUGCUUACAGGUGCUAAUCAACUUUGCUUACAGGUGCUAAUCAACUUUGCUUACAGGUGCUAAUCAACUUUCUUUACAGGUGCUAAUAACUUUGCUUACAGGUGCUAAUCAACUUUCUUUACAGGUGCUAAUCAACUUUGCUUACAGGUGCUAAUCAACUUUCCUUACAGGUGCUAAUAACUUUGCUUACAGGUGCUAAUCAACUUUCUUUACAGGUGCUAAUCAACUUUGCUUACAGGUGCUAAUCAACUUUCUUUACAGGUGCUAAUAACUUUGCUUACAGGUGCUAAUCAACUUUCUUUACAGGUGCUAAUCAACUUUCCUUACAGGUGCUAAUCAAUUUUCCUUACAGGUGCUUAACAACUUUUCUUACAGGUGCUUAUCAACUUUCCUUACAGGUGCUAAUUAGCUGCUUUCUUGGAGGUGUAAACUCAUAUUUGCGAGUGUAACAGGCAUAUAAUGUGUUCACACUGAGGCCUAGCCUAUACUCUGUUCUGGGAAGCUGUUCAU